rnacentral:lncRNA from 1 species
UCUUUCUUAAUAUUAGUAAUAGGAUAACUAUACUUGCUUUGUUCGUACCUUGCAAGGACCUCAUCUAUUUUUAUUUAAUUUAUUCAUGCCUGCUAGACAGUUUUUACUUGACCUCGACCUCACUAUAGGGAUCAGUGAACAAGAUUAAGUUUUGGUGGUCAAGACCAUAUCUCAAAUACUAUAAGCAAAUUCAUUUUUUUUACAUAAAUAAGGCCGUAAUUUUUCUCGUUUGAAUUGUUUUACAUUGUCUUAUCGGGGCCUUUUAUAGCUGACUAUGCGGUAUGGGCUUUGCUCAUUGACCUAUAGUUGUUAAUGUCUGUUUCAUUUUGGUCUUUUGUGGAUAGUUGUCUCAUUGGCAAUAAUACCACAUCUUCUUUUUUAUAUCUAGUAUAUUCGGUGUAUGAAUGCUUGUAAGGUGAACAUGUCCAACUGGCAGGCGUUUCAUGGUUCAGUGGCUUUAGUUUUUGUGUUUUGGUCUGUUUUUUUUUUUAUACUGUAUGUUAGAUUUACUAUGUUUGGUGUAUGGAAUCAUUGUAAGGUGUACAUGUCUAGCUGGCAGGAGUAAUCUGACCUUAACCUCAUUUUCAUGGUUCAGUUAUUUUUAAGGGCAAUAAUUCCUUUAGAGGUCAAUUGACAAUUUUGGUCAUGUGGAAUUAUUUGGAGAUCUUUCUUUGCUGAACAUUGCUGCUGUUUAUAUCUAUCUAUAAUUAUAUUGCAGAUAAUAACCAAAGACUGAAAACUUCCUAAAUUCAGGGACAGCAAAUCAACAACGGUUUGUCUGAAUUACUUUCAAUGUUAACAUUCUUUUCCUUUUAAAAAGCAGAAAACAGCAAGUUCAUAUGUAACCAUC